AUGACCUGGGAAAAGAUCAGAACAGUUGCUCAAGUCCUGUAACACUCAAACACCGAAAGGAAAGCCUUAAAACUAAAGGGACCCAGCGACAACCACUGAGCCUUGCCGUAAAACACCUCGUUGAACUAGAAGAGUCGUAAUCCCACUAGAAAAACAAAAGAACAGGUUUGUCAGCAAAGAAAAUUUAGAACUAUUAAACAAAACAAAUUUGCUAUUUUUAAUGAUAUAUAUUCUUAAUAUUGCUGUUUUUAACGAUACAUUACUUAAUAAGGAUAACAUCGACAGGCUUACGUAUGAAGUCUGGGUGUUGCAUAGAUAUAGGAUAUUUAUCUGGUGAAGUGGUAUGUACAUCACAGCAUUCAAUAAGCAUCAAAUUUAUUAUCAUGUUGUA